UUUUUCCGUGAUAUAAGAUUAUGCUGGGGAAGGUUUUCCGGUUUAUCUCGGAGGGCUUGUAGCUCAGUUGGUUAGAGCGCGCGCUUGAUAAGCGUGAGGUCGGAGGUUCAAGUCCUCCCAGGCCCACCAUUUAUAAGUGCUGAUAGGGUGCUUUUUGUGCGAUAGCAUGAGAUUUACAUUUUAUCGAUUGCGCUGAAGCGAUUGAGCCUCGAUAUGAAAUUAUUGAUUUUUCAUUUAUCUUAAAUUAGGGGCCGUAGCUCAGCUGGGAGAGCACCUGCUUUGCAAGCAGGGGGCGUCGGUUC
rnacentral:misc_RNA from 1 species